GUGUACUUAGCUCAAUGGAAAGAGAAUCAAUCAUGAAUACUGAGUCUGUGGGUUCAAUUCCCACAGUACAAA
rfam:Puccinia sorghi strain RO10H11247 Scaffold_967, whole genome shotgun sequence.